AGUCCCCUCAUCACUAAGUUCAGGUUAAGCUACUGAAGCUAAAGCAGACCCAAGGAACCCAGGAGUUUUGAGUAGAACAUUUAAAAAAGAUAAUGAGCAAAUUAUAAUGAUGUCUUCAGCCUGCCUGAUUCUGUAAUGUCUCUGUGAUUGUUACUCCUAUAUCAGUUCAAAUCAGAGUUACUUUCCAUGCAUGGUGAUGCUAUGCAACAUUACUGACAACCAGAGCUAAAGUGUGAAAUUAGAGCAUUUGAAAACACUAAUUUGAUUAUAGCUGUCAAUUUAAUAAGCUGUGUACAGUUAAGGCCAGUCACUCAGUAUCCAAAUAUCUGUGGGUGCAAUAAGCAGGAAAGGGCUCUAAUAUCUAAUUUACAUGCAGCUCAGUAGUGGUUUUACUAUAUUUCUAAGAUCUCUGUGAAAGCACUUGCUCGGUGUGUGGGGGUGUACGCUGCUAAAGAGACAUGGAACUCUUUUUAAACUGUUUAUUUUAUUGUAUUGUCCAAGUACCAGACCUCCCUGCAAGCCUUUCAGCCAGUUCUUGUGGAUUUGCUACCACAUUUUCUUUUUUUUUUUUUAAAUUGGUUUUUCUCCCCAUUACUGUCAGAGAGAUGCACUCAGACAACAGGGGACACUGACUAACUCACCGGCUUUACAGCCGGACUGGCUGAAAUAUCACCAUUGAAACCAUUUUGGAUGGAAAAUUGUGUGUUUUUCCUACACAACAGUUUUUCCCCCCGUAAGUAUCUCCUGUCCAUGGAAAAAUUUGCCUUUUAGUCAAACAGAAACAUUGAAAACAGAAACAUUUUUUGUUCUUCAGUGUAAAGCAGAAAUUUUUUGCAGGGAGAAACAAUUUUCUGACCAUCUCUAUUAUACAUCAAGAAGAGUGAAACAGCCUACAAGGUGUCAGCAAAGGAACAAAGUGAAAGAAAGACAUCUUUUUUUCUACUGUCUUUCACUUGUAGUUCCUUUAAACAUUAUGUGUAACAAUAGCAGGUAAAAAAGCCUUCAGGCCAAUGUGGUUUUGAGGUUGGAAGGUGUCCUUUGAAUUAGUUAAAAUAAAAGCCAGGAAGCUUGGCUUUCAAGCAGCUGUUCAUUAGGUGGUGCUAUGCUGAGAUGUCAUCAGACCAUAACAUUAUAUUCCUCUGGGAGUUUUAAUCUUAUGUUUAUUACAGCCUUUUUAAAGCAGUUAGUGGAAAGGGAGGAAACUUGUGAAAUGAACUAGUCAUUAAUAGUUACCUUUACUGCUGUGAAACUGCUCCCUUUGUGUCUGGGAGAUCUUUGUUUCUGUCUAUAGCUUUCAACUAAGCGAUGUUGUUAUAUAUUUUCUUUAGGAAACCAAACUGGGACUGGGAAAAUACCAUAAACUAUCUUUACUUUAAAGAGCAAAUGUGAGUUAGCAAAAAGUUACACUUGUGAUAAAGACAAUCUAUGUGAAUGCUACUAUGGCUGGGCAAAAAAUUCCUGCAAAAGAUAAGGCCCCUUUUUAAAUUGGCCUGUUCUCAAAUCUUCCUGGAAAUUGGAGCAAAUUUUUUUAAAAGGGUGAUUAAAUUUCAUGUGAAAUAUUUUCUGCUCGCUUGCCCAGAAGAACUGAAAGGCCACGGUUGCUAAGAAACCACACCCUUGUGGCUUGAGAAGGUGGUAGGAGCUCCCUAGCGCCCAUGUGGUCUAGCAGAAAAGCAUCGGGCUGGGAGCUCUUCUCUGCCAUUCAUUGGCCUUUGGAGUGCUUUCCACUUAGAUAGCCUCUACAAAUGUUAGGUUUCGUGACACCCAUGCAAGGUAGAUAAAUAUCACUAUCCCAUUUUAAAGAUAGGGAAACAAGGUCAGAGCAUUUGUGUGUGUCCAAGGUUCUUGUCAGAACAAGGGUUAAUUCUGGCCUCCAUCCCUAUGUAUAAUCCAUUAGUGCUCCCUAGCCAAGGCAAUUAACCUCCCUGAGCCACUGUCUUUCUAUCUGGAAAAUGGGGAUGAUGAGAUUUACCAGAGGUGAAAUCUGAAAAAACAAAAAAAAACAA